GUUCCCAUGGCAACAGGCCCCUCAUGGAUGCCGCCACGUACCGUUCUUCCUGCGGCUUGGCUCGUCCUCAGGUCUAAGGGCGACCUCAAAGACCCCUUUACCCGCACCCCCAAGGCCCCGCGCUGCUGCCUAAGUUAGUGACAAUGGCCGUAGGGCAAACCUUCGGGAUUACUUGCGUGCCGGGCCCCGGACCAAACUGGUCAAGAGCACCGACUGGAGCCAACCGUCUGGGUUCAAAUCUCAGCACCACCCCCACUAGCGAUUUCCCCCAGGCAAGUUUCUCACCUCAGUAUGCCUCAGUUUCCCCAUCCGUAAAAUGGGGAAAAUGACGAUCUCAUUGGGUUGUGUGGAUUAAAUGAAUAGUCAUAAA
rnacentral:lncRNA from 1 species